rnacentral:rRNA from 1 species
UACGUAGGGGGCGAUCGUUGUCCUGAUUUACUGGGCGUAAAGGGUGAGUAGGCGGUUAUAUAUGUCAGGUGUAAAAGGCUAUGGCUUAACCAUGGUUAGCACUUGAAACUGUAUGACUUGAGUGCAGGAGAGGUAAGUGGAAUUCCUAGUGUAGCGGUGAAAUGCGUAGAUAUUAGGAGGAACACCAGUGGCGAAGGCGACUUACUGGACUGUAACUGACGCUGAGUCACGAAAGCGUGGGUAGCAAACAGGAUUAGAUACCCCCGUA